AUGAACGCUGGCGGCGUGCCUAAUACAUGCAAGUCGAGCGAACAGACGAGGAGCUUGCUCCUCUGACGUUAGCGGCGGACGGGUGAGUAACCCGUGGAUAACCUACCUAUAAGACUGGGAUAACUUCGGGAAACCGGAGCUAAUACCGGAUAAUAUAUUGAACCGCAUGGUUCAAUAGUGAAAGACGGUUUUGCUGUCACUUAUAGAUGGAUCCGCGCCGCAUUAGCUAGUUGGUAAGGUAACGGCUUACCAAGGCAACGAUGCGUAGCCGACCUGAGAGGGUGAUCGGCCACACUGGAACUGAGACACGGUCCAGACUCCUACGGGAGGCAGCAGUAGGGAAUCUUCCGCAAAGGGCGAAAGCCUGACGGAGCAACGCCGCGUGAGUGAUGAAGGUCUUCGGAUCGUAAAACUCUGUUAUUAGGGAAGAACAAAUGUGUAAGUAACUAUGCACGUCUUGACGGUACCUAAUCAGAAAGCCACGGCUAACUACGUG
rnacentral:rRNA from 1 species